UGUAUGGUUAAGUGACUAAGCGUACACGGUGGAUGCCUGGGCAGUCAGAGGCGAUGAAGGACGUACUAACUUGCGAUAAGCGCAGAUAAGGCAGUAAGAGCCGUUUGAGUCUGCGAUUUCCGAAUGGGGAAACCCAACUGCAUAAGCAGUUACUGUUAACUGAAUACAUAGGUUAACAGAGCAAACCGGGGGAACUGAAACAUCUAAGUACCCCGAGGAGAAGAAAUCAACCGAGAUUCCGGUAGUAGCGGCGAGCGAACCUGGAUUAGCCCUUAAGCACUCGGUGAAGUAGGUGAACAAGCUGGAAAGCUUGGCGAUACAGGGUGAUAGCCCCGUAACCGACGCUUCAUCGAGCGUGAAAUCGAGUAGGGCGGGACACGUGAUAUCCUGUCUGAAUAUGGGGGGACCAUCCUCCAAGGCUAAAUACUCCUGACUGACCGAUAGUGAACCAGUACCGUGAGGGAAAGGCGAAAAGAACCCCUGUGAGGGGAGUGAAAUAGAACCUGAAACCGUGUACGUACAAGCAGUAGGAGCACCUUCGUGGUGUGACUGCGUACCUUUUGUAUAAUGGGUCAGCGACUU
rnacentral:rRNA from 1 species